AAGUCGAGGGGCAGCGCGGGGCGGCAACGUCCUGGCGGCGACCGGCGGAAGGGUGCGUAACGCGUGAGCGACAUGCCCGUUGCCCGGGGACAACCGGUGGAAACGCCGACUAAUCCCCGAUGGGACGGAGGCCCUCAUGGGUCUCUGUUGAAAGUUACGGCGGCGACGGAUUGGCUCGCGUCCGAUUAGCUUGUUGGCGGGGUAACGGCCCACCAAGGCUACGAUCGGUAGGGGUUCUGAGAGGAAGGUCCCCCACAAUGGAACUGAGACACGGUCCAUACUCCUACGGGAGGCAGCAGUGAGGAAUAUUGGUCAAUGGGCGGAAGCCUGAACCAGCCAUGCCGCGUGCGGGAAGGAGGCCCUAUGGGCUGUGAACCGCUUUUGCCUGGGGGCAAUAAGGGCGUCGCGCACGUCCGAUGAGAGUACCAGGGGAAUAAGCAUCGGCUAACUCCGUGCCAGCAGCCGCGGUAAUACGGGGGAUGCGAGCGUUAUCCGGAUUCAUUGGGUUUAAAGGGUGCGUAGGCUGUGCGUCAAGUCAGGGGUGAAAUUCCGGGGCUCAACUCCGGGGCUGCCCUUGAUACUGUCGCGCUGGAGUGCGGAUGCCGCCGGAGGAAUGAGUGGUGUAGCGGUGAAAUGCUUAGAUAUCACUCAGAACACCGAUUGCGAAGGCAUCUGGCGAAUCCGUAACUGACGCUGAGGCACGAAAGCGUGGGGAUAGAACAGGAUUAGAUACCCUGGUAUUCCACGCCGUAAACGAUGAUGGCUAACCGCCGGCGACAUACUGUCGGUGGCCAAGCGAAAGCGAUAAGCCAUCCACCUGGGGAGUACGUCGGCAA
rnacentral:rRNA from 1 species